UUAAUUAGUCAUGCAUUGAAAUAUCUAUACCUAUACAUUGAUUUAUUUAUUGUUUGUGUAAUACAAUUAAUCGAGUAACAAUGCUAUGUUACAGAUUCUGUAACAUACGCACCCAAUACAUCCACCACAUCUGUCCUGCAGAAGGGAGAAAAAGCAUGCAAAUGCUUUUGUUUGGUAGCGGGCUAAAGUUACAGAAUCUGUAACUUAGCCUGCUCCACUUUAACAACAAAACCAAACUCAUCAACACAACUGCGCAAGCACACCGAAAGCAACACUUCCUUCC
rnacentral:lncRNA from 1 species